UAAAUAUUCUGAAGUCAGGACAACCAGAUAAUGCACAAGAGGAUUCUAAAAGCUCCCUGAAGAUUUCUCCGGAGAGUUGAUGCCAAUUUUGAAUAAAAUUUGAAAAAACAGGUUGCAAACUUUGUGUUGGCACUUGUAAAGUGUGAAUGGGACAACAGAGGCACCUGUCGAUCUGCUGCAAUACAACGCAGAAUGUGGUGAGUGCAAAAUUAACCAGUGGGAGUUUCAGAAUGUGCACUUCGAAUGAUGCUGAUACCAAAACAAGCAUUGUCACGGUGCGGGUGGCAGGGUGUAUUUGCACAGGUGAACUUUGUUGCAGUGACAGAGGAAAGGCUGCACUCAGGAAAAUGUUAUUCUGAGCAGUACUGUGGGAACACAGGCGCAGACAGAGAAACAGCUAUGGGCUGCCAAGUGCAGCUAAGGCCAGAGGGAAAAUGUGGACUAUGACAGACAGAUGUGGUCCUACCUACCAGCAGGUGCCCUGGCUGGAUCAUCCUACACACAGCUGUGUGAGAUGCUGGCCAGGCCUGCACUCAGUGGGCAAUAUGGACAAAUAAAAAGCCAGCAAUUUUUCUGCAAGAGCAGGUCUUCAGAAAAGCUCUCCUAGUUUUCGAGAGGUACCUGGAUUUCAAGAGUACCAGGGAUUCUGGCACCGAGGUCAUACAUGAAGACGUGAGAAAGAAGAUGGCCCUUCCUUUAUUUUUCCAUGAUUCUGGGAGCAGCUUUGGCUAAUGGAGGAGGACCUGCGCGCUUGAAAAGGCUGCUCAUAGAGAAUCCCUGCUUCCUCCUGGGCAUGAAGGCUGACUUAUCUACUCACUGCAUCAGUUUCUCCAGGCAGACAGUCUUCCAAAUUAAGAAAUGCGUGUAGCCUCAAAUUUCUGGCAACCAAAAGGGAGGAAAAGAACUUUACUCUCAAAAGAAAUCUCCACGUUCCAUGAGAAACUCUCACAUUCUCUAGUUGUAUCAGAUAAUAAAAAAAAAUCAAUAAAGAAAUAGAGAAUGAAAAACUGUCUGGUAGAUGUCGGUCAAGCAGGAAACUGGGAAGGAGAAAACACGGUUUGCAAUGGCGCUGCGAACCAGACAGAAACAAAGGAAAUAAACAAGGAAAUGCUGAGGGAUGGACGGAGAUGUUUUCUACAGAGGUUGUUCUAAACUCUGUACAUUAACCAGGAGAGAGGGAGAUACUUCUUCAAACCACAAUGUAACACAUUCCAAAGCUUCCUCUGGCAGCACAACGUGACCAAAUCUCACCUACAGAAUCUGGGCUCUUCACCAGCUCCAUCCCAGGCACAUAGCAAUGGGAACUACAAGAUGACUACAUCUGCCUUUUGCAGAAGCCAAAACCAGGCUGGAUAUUUUGAUUUUAAAUUCUCAAGCCAGUCCUCCCAGUGCAGUUUGUAGCACACCUUAAAGUUGAAGCUCAAGCUCUAAGAAAAGGAGCGUAAAGAAUACAAGAAAAAAUCUUCAAGUGUUUUUUGGAAGUCCUUGCAGUGCAACUCCUAGAGGUGUACAGAAACAUGAUUUUCAGCUCAGUGGGACAUUAAUGAAGCUCUUCCUCUUAAGCAGGAUCUGUACUGUCAGUGCUCUUGCUUCAGAGAAAGUCGGUUUUUGGCUUUAAAACACCAUGCAUCACAGGCAUUAAUAUUACCCACAUUAACGUACAAUUUAGAGACUGUAAGAAGUUCCCAGUGCUACACCUGCAAAUAACAAAUAGAAGAUGGCUCUCCCCCCAAAAUCACUGCAGGAGUGCUGGGGACAUGGAGGGAUCAGACCAAACGCAGCCAACAGCUACUCAGACGGAAUGAGCUUUAAAGCGAUGGCACUUAAAGGAGUACAAAAAGGCAGUUGCCUUUUAGUUACUUCUGGCUUGGGAAUCUUUAAAUAUUUUGUGUAUCAGCUCGGGUCUUCUGCCACCUCCCAGUCAGAGGACAAGAAAGCACUAUUUUUAAAAUGAAAGCUGAGAAAGCCAUGUCCUCAGAAGCUUUAAGGAAAAUACCAAGUGUGACGCGUGAGGGCAAAACCAUAGUGCUGUGCCACUGCUCUUUUGGUGGCUUUCAGAUCCAGAGUUUAGCACAAAAUCGAGGCUGCUUUCCCCUCACAUUCUUCAAUGCUAUAGAUCAGGGCAAUGCGCUGCCCUUUAAGCAAAUGCAUUUUAAAAAGCAAUUUGAUUAUCUUCAUUGUGCAAUUAUCAGCAGCUGAGAUCAGCAAAAAUCAGAGGUUUAUAAUUAUAUCCAAUUUCCCACUCAUUACAGACAAUAAG